UUAAGUUUUAACCUUUACAAAGUAAAACUUUCACUAACUGGUGGUUUCCUAGCAAUAAGUUUGUCUUUUUUUUUAUUUUAUAGAUCUCGACCAGAAAAUGCAAGUGACCAACUCAAGAGGUAUCCAUCCCACCCAGGGUAUGAUUCAUUGUCUGUUCUGAUAACAGCAUAUGCCUGCCUAAAAGCUAUCAGAUUAUGUUUACAGUUAAAAAGCAGCUACACUAUGUUUUCCAGCUGUGUUUGGUGAGGAUACUUCUCUCCGCUUCUCCAAUAAACAGACACUGUUGGACCCCACAACCUCAUUACCUGCAGAGAGGGGCUGCCACUCAAAUACACCAAAAUACAAAGUGAUGGAUGGUGAAGACAUCAUAGAGGAUUGUGCAGAUAUUUUAGUGAAGCCUUCAGUUUAGCCUUCAUUAUAUCUAUUUUGUGUUUUCAUGGGAUGCUGUUCUUCCUUGAAGGAUUGGUUGUCAGUAUGGAAGAAAAAUACUCUCUAUAUAAAAGAUAAAAGAAUGUACAAGUUUCUA